UUGGACCUGAAUGUCAAUAUAAGUGUCGCUGUCAACAAACGUGUAGCCCUGAAGGUGAAUGUCCUGGUCAAUGUGAUGUUGGUUGGUUUGGUUACAAGUGCCAAUAUAGUCUAGUGACGUACACUGCUACAACAGGACAGUCUCAAGACGAUCUUACAUUCCCUUUAAAUGACAACAACGAGAAUACUUGUGUUGCUAUUGGCAACCAGGCAAUUGUUAUAACUUUUAUAAAUAUUUGUUAUAAACCAUGGAUUCGUUUGCACACGCAGGACCCAGACCUACUCUACAGCCUAAAGAUUACCCUGCUAGACAAACAAAAUCAGUCUGCAGUUUUAACCUCCAAAGAAAGAUAUAUAGUUCAACAUGAAAUUGUCGAUAUCCAUAUUUUGGUUGAAAAUUUUUUUGUACGCCGUAUGAUAUUAGAAGGCGAAGCUAUACAAAGACU
rnacentral:sRNA from 1 species